UACGUAGGGUGCGAGCGUUAAUCGGAAUUACUGGGCGUAAAGUGUGCGCAGGCGGCCGAGCAAGUCGAGUGUGAAAGCCCCGAGCUUAACUUGGGAACUGCGCUCGAAACUACUUGGCUAGAGUGUGGCAGAGGGAGGUGGAAUUCCACGUGUAGCGGUGAAAUGCGUAGAGAUGUGGAGGAACACCGAUGGCGAAGGCGGCCUCCUGGGCCAACACUGACGCUCAUGCACGAAAGCGUGGGGAGCAAACAGG
rnacentral:rRNA from 1 species